rnacentral:rRNA from 1 species
GACGAACGCUGGCGGCGUGCUUAACACAUGCAAGUCGAACGGAAAGGCCCUGCUCUUGCGGGUUGCACGAGUGGCGAACGGGUGAGUAACACGUGAGUAACAUGCACUUGACUUUGGGGUAACUCUAGGAAACUCGGGCUCAUACCGGAUAGGACCUCCUGCUGCAUGGUGGGGGAUGGUAAGUGUCGGCGGUUGGGGCUGGACUCGCGGGUUAUCAGCUUGAUGGUGGGGUAGUUGCUUACCAAGGCUGUGACGGGUAGCCGGCAUGGGAGGGUGGCCGGCCACCUGAGGACUGAGGUACGGCCCAGUCUCCUACGGUAGGCAGCGGGGGGGAAUAUUGCACAAUGGGCGGGAGCCUGAGACAGCAGCGCCGCGUGCGGAAUGACGGCCUUCGGGUUGUAAACCGCUUUCGCCUGAGACGAAGCGGGAGUGACGGUAAUGGGUAAAGAAGCACCGGCUAACUACGUG